CAGCCAUGUGCCUAGCACAUAGCUCUGCUCAGUAAAUACUUGUUAUAUAAAUAAAUUCAUAGUAAGUAGAAGAUAGAAAAAUGAAGAAGGUGGCUGGGUGCAGUGGCUCAUGCCAUAAUCCAAGUACUUUGGGAGGCUGAGGCGGUAGGAUUAUUUCAACUCAGGAGUUCGAGACCAGCCUGGGCAACAUGGUGAAACCCUGUCUCUGCAAAAAAUAAAGAAAGAAAGGAAGAAUGUUUGAGGACCUCCCAAAUAUAGGACUAGUGCUCCGUUACUAAUACACUAAAGAGGAGAUUGGUGGUAUGGAUCAGCACAAACCAAAAGAUGGAGAUUCGCUCUUGUUGCCAAGGCUGGAGUACAAUGGUGUGAUCUCGGAUCACUGCAACCUCCACUUCCUGGGUUCAAGCAAUUCUCCUGCCUCAGCCUCCCAAGUAGCUGGGAUUACAGAGCUCCUAUUUGUGUUGGCGCAUCCUUGACCCUGGCUAAAUAAAUGAUUCGAGUGAGACCUGCCUCA
rnacentral:lncRNA from 13 species